GAUGAACGCUGGCGGCGUGCCUAAUACAUGCAAGUCGAGCGAACAGACGAGGAGCUUGCUCCUCUGACGUUAGCGGCGGACGGGUGAGUAACACGUGGAUAACCUACCUAUAAGACUGGGAUAACUUCGGGAAACCGGAGCUAAUACCGGAUAACAUGUUGAACCGCAUGGUUCAACAGUGAAAGACGGUUUUGCUGUCACUUAUAGAUGGAUCCGCGUCGCAUUAGCUAGUUGGUAAGGUAACGGCUUACCAAGGCAACGAUGCGUACCCGACCUGCUAGGGUGAUCGGCCACACUGGAACUGCGACACGGUCCAGACUCCUAACAGAGGCAGCAGUAGGGACUCUUCCGCCAUGAGCGGAAGCCUGACGGAGCAACGCCGCGUGAGUGAAGAAGGUCUUCGGAUCGUAAAACUCUGUUAUUAGGGAAGAACAAAUGUGUAAGUAACUAUGCACGUCUUGACGGUACCUAAUCACAAAGCCACGGCUAACUACGUG
rnacentral:rRNA from 1 species